GACGAACCGUGCGAACGUUAUUCGGAAUCACUGGGCUUAAAGCGCGUGUAGGCGGGCCGCCGCGUCGGCUGCUGAAAUCCCCCGGCUCAACCGGGGAACGGGCACCGAUACGGGCGGCCUCGAGGGGGGUAGGGGGGCCUGGAACUUCCGGUGGAGCGGUGAAAUGCGUUGAGAUCGGAAAGAACACCAACGGCGAAAGCACUCUGCUGGGCCGACACUGACACUGAGAGACGAAAGCUAGGGGAGCGAAUGGG
rnacentral:rRNA from 1 species